CACAAACUCUGUAAUCACACAGAACAUCAAUCAACACAAUAUCAUGUUAUAAGAAAGGAAAUUUUACUUAGUUAUUGCUUCUAAAGCAAUAUAUCUCCAAAUAACAUCUGCAUAAAGUAUCAAUUUAACUUUUAAUUUGGAAAUGUCUCAUAUCAAACUAAAUACCAACUGGAUACCACAUUUAUCAAUGAUAUUGCUAAAAAUAUAUGUAACACUUAAAUAAAACACUGUUGAUUGAUUAGUACAUCACAUGUCACGGUAGAAAAGUGUCACAAAACCUAACAAGAAUGUUUAUAAUAAUGAUCAGGUAUUGUCUGUCAGCUAUGGUUUUACCUUUUCAGUGACAAGUUUUUUGUGGAGGAAGUUGUUGGAGUACAUCAGGACCUUUUGUACAGCUCUCUCACACAGCUUUAUAUCAUUCUUGAGUGUAAUAGUGACCUUGAUCUUUGACCUAUGGGCCUCAACGGAUAUUCCAAGUAAACAUGCUUUAUAAGGAAACACUGGAUAAAGUCCGAAUGCAAUUGGUCUUACAAAAUUUGAGAUAUUGUGCAUAAACUGUCUGAUUCUUCAUUUAAAGCAACAGUGACCAUGACCUUUUACUCCAGGCCAUGUAAUGCUAUCCUAAGCAAGAAUUUUCUUCCAAGAAAGCACUGGAUAAUGUCUGAGUGCAAUUGGACCCACAGAACUUGAGAUGUGCAGACACCAAAUACAAACAGAAGAACAGAAAGGCAGACAGACAACCUUAAACUAUUGGGAACCUCAUCUUAUGUAAUUAAUUCAACAAGAAAUUUAUGUAAUAAAUGGUGAGGUGAGUGAAUAAUAAAAUGCAAUCCAUAAAACA